rnacentral:rRNA from 1 species
GGAAUAUUGGACAAUGGGGGGAACCCUGAUCCAGCCAUGCCGCGUGUGUGAAGAAGGCCUUUUGGUUGUAAAGCACUUUAAGCGAGGAGGAGGCUCCUAUAGAUAAUACCUAUAGAGAGUGGACGUUACUCGCAGAAUAAGCACCGGCUAACUCUGUGCCAGCAGCCGCGGUAAUACAGAGGGUGCAAGCGUUAAUCGGAUUUACUGGGCGUAAAGCGUACGUAGGUGGUCUUUUAAGUCGGAUGUGAAAUCCCUGAGCUUAACUUAGGAAUUGCAUUCGAUACUGGGAGACUAGAGUAUGGGAGAGGAUGGUAGAAUUCCAGGUGUAGCGGUGAAAUGCGUAGAGAUCUGGAGGAAUACCGAUGGCGAAGGCAGCCAUCUGGCCUAAUACUGACACUGAGGUACGAAAGCAUGGGGAGCAAACAGGAUUAGAUACCCUGG